AAAACCAGAUUCCAGGGAUCAUUUCUGUAUGUGUUACAAAAAAGAAAAUCUUCUUGGGAGGUGUAGAGAAUUGGAAACCACUAUGACGGGGAUUCGCUUUCUGGCCUGCUGUGAAGUCGGGGUUCAGUGUUGCUUCAUGGCCUCUGCUCUCUGCCUGUUCAUCAGCUUCCUUCUGGGAGCUCAAGAGAGGAAGGAUGAACUCUGAAUGUU